GACGAACGCUGGCGGCGUGCCUAAUACAUGCAAGUAGAACGCACAGUUUAUACCGUAGCUUGCUACACCAUAGACUGUGAGUUGCGAACGGGUGAGUAACGCGUAGGUAACCUGCCUGGUAGCGGGGGAUAACUAUUGGAAACGAUAGCUAAUACCGCAUAAUAUUAAUUAUUGCAUGAUAAUUAAUUGAAAGGUGCAAUUGCACCACUACCAGAUGGACCUGCGUUGUAUUAGCUAGUAGGUGAGGUAACGGCUCACCUGGGCGACGAUACAUAGCCGACCUGAGAGGGUGAUCGGCCACACUGGGACUGAGACACGGCCCAGACUCCUACGGGAGGCAGCAGUAGGGAAUCUUCGGCAAUGGACGAAAGUCUGACCGAGCAACGCCGCGUGAGUGAAGAAGGGUUUCGGAUCGUAAAGCUCUGUUGUAAGAGAAGAACGGGUGUGAGAGUGGAAAGUUCACACUGUGACGGUAUCUUACCAGAAAGGGACGGCUAACUACGUG
rnacentral:rRNA from 1 species